rnacentral:rRNA from 1 species
GAGCACGUAGGUGGGUUUGUAAGUCAGACGUGAAAGCCUUCUGUUCAACGGAAGAAUUGCAUCUGAAACUACAAACCUUGAGUGUAGGAGGGGAGAAUGGAACUUCUGGUGGAGCGGUGAAAUGCGUAGAUAUCAGAAGGAACGCCGGCGGCAAAAGCGAUUCUCUGGCCUAUUACUGACACUCAGUGUGCGAAAGCUAGGGGAGCAAACGGGAUUAGAUACCCCGGUAGUCCUAGCCGUAAACGACGGGCACUAAGUAGAGGGGUUUUAA